rnacentral:rRNA from 1 species
AACAACGGAUCUCUUGGUUCUGGCAUCGAUGAAGAACGCAGCAAAAUGCGAUAAGUAAUGUGAAUUGCAGAAUUCAGUGAAUCAUCGAAUCUUUGAACGCACAUUGCGCCCGCCAGUAUUCUGGCGGGCAUGCCUGUUCGAGCGUCAUUU